rnacentral:rRNA from 1 species
CAGUAGCCGCGGUAAUACGGAGGGUGCAAGCGUUAAUCGGAAUUACUGGGCGUAAAGCGUGCGUAGGCGGUUCGUUAAGUCUGUUGUGAAAGCCCCGGGCUCAACCUGGGAAUGGCGAUGGAGACUGCAAGGCUAGAAUCUGGCAGAGGGGGGUAGAAUUCCACGCGUAGCAGUGAAAUGCGUAGAUAUGUGGAGGAACACCGAUGGCGAAGGCAGCCCCCUGGGCUAAGAUUGACGCUCAUGCACGAAAGCGUGGGGAGCAAACAGGAUUAGAUACCCCCGUAGUCCCUGUCUCUUAUAC